UACAGAGGGUGCGAGCGUGUUCGGAAUUACUGGGCGUAAAGCGCGCGCAGGCGGCUCUUUAAGUCUAUGGGUGAAAGACCGGGGCUCAACCCCGUGUCAGCCCGGGAUACUGGGGGAGCUAGGGACAUGGUAGGGGCGAGCGGAAUUCCGGGUGUAGCGGUGGAAUGCGUAGAGAUCCGGAAGAAGACCGGUGGCGAAGGCGGUCUGCUGGCGAGUACCUGACACUGAGGCGCGACAGCGUGGGGAGC
rnacentral:rRNA from 1 species